UGUGGAAUAUUGGACAAUGGGCGCAAGCCUGAUCCAGCAAUGCCGCGUGGGUGAAGACGGCCUGCGGGUUGUAAAGCCCUUUAGGCGGGGAGGAACGACGGGACGUGAAGAGCGUUUCGAAGUGACGUUACCCGCGGAAUAAGCACCGGCUAACUCCGUGCCAGCAGCCGCGGUAAUACGGAGGGUGCGAGCGUUAAUCGGAAUUACUGGGCGUAAAGCGUGCGUAGGCGGUUGGGUCAGUCAGCCGGGAAAGCCCCGGGCUUAACCUGGGAACGGCGGUUGAGACGG
rnacentral:rRNA from 1 species